AUAGAGAGUUUUAAUUGAUUUAAUCCCAUUUUCUAGAACCCUAAUCUUGUGUCAGGGUUUACGAGUUGGGAGGUAAUCUUAGGUAAGCAAUUCCUAUGGAGUGUAGGCCUUCCCAAAGGUAAAGAAAGUGCGCAAAAGUUUUCUUGGGCGGGAAGAAAAUGAGCCCUUGACUGCAAAAGCAAAAGGUAACUUAAUCAUAAGACCAGCGUUGUCAAAUAGGGAUGAAAGUAACCGGCCUAAGUAAUCCGAUGGUGCCGAGUGAAAGAGCUGUUGCUUAAAGGAAUUAAAGUUACUCUAGAGGUAGCAGGCCGAUAUUCCUAAAGACUUCGCAUCGACAUCGACAGCAAAAUUCGGCACAUUGAAAUCGGCUCUUCGCCACUAAGGU
rnacentral:ncRNA from 1 species